rnacentral:rRNA from 1 species
UACGGAGGGUGCAAACGUUGUUCGGAAUUAUUGGGCGUAAAGCGCACGUAGGCGGCGAAUCAGGUCGGGUGUGAAAUCCCGGGGCUCAACCCCGGGCCUGCGCUCGAAACCGGUUGGCUGGAGUCUCGGAGGGAAAGGGGGAAUUCCUGGUGUAGGGGUGAAAUCCGUAGAUAUCAGGAGGAACACCGGUGGCGAAGGCGCCCUUUUGGCCGAGUACUGACGCUGAGGUGCGAAAGCGUGGGGAGCAAACAGG